AACUCCCCAUACCCUUCUGCAGGACCUGGAAGCCACCUGUUGAAGAUGGCAGAGCCCCAAGACAUAAGAAGCAUGGGUCCCUGGGUCCCUGGUCCCCACCUGGGAGGAUCUCUGCUAAACAUGCAAGCUGGAUGGCUGUGGGAGUGAAAAAUAAACUCCUACUGGGUGAAGCUACUGAGAUUUCAGGGUUUCUCUGCUUCUGUUUGGAUGUGAUAUGGUUUGGCUGUGUCUCCACCCAAAUCUCAUCUUGAAUUCCCAUGUGUUGUAGGAGGGACCUGGUGCGAGGUGACUGAAUUACUGGGGUGGGUCUUUCCUGCACUGUUCUCAUGAUUGUGAAUAAUUCUCACAAGAUCUGAUGGCUUUAUAAGGUGGAGUUUCCCUCCACAAGCUCUGUAUUUGCCUGCUGCCAUCCAUGUAAGAAGUGCCUUGCUCCUCCUUGUCUUCCACCAUGAUUGUGAGGCUUCCCCAGCCAUGUGGAACCAUGUGUUUGACUCACCCCUUAUUGGAAAAAAAGAAAAAUCUGAUCGUGGAGCUGCUAAUCUGAACUGUUUCCAUUCAUCAUGCCAAGUGGAAAAUCUUUACCCCCAUGUAGUAGGUGCCAAAAUCAAGAACUUGGCUACAGCCGGCAAUUCCAGACUUGUCUGUCACUCUCCUCCAGAGCUGCCCUCACACUGGCCACAUCACCAGCCUACACACCAUCCCUGUCCACUCUGACCUCUACACAGUUGCACCCACUGCCCCUCCCGCUGUGCGCCAAUUUAAAUCUCCCUGGAACCCGGACAGGAUGCCCCUCCUCCAGGACGCUUUGGCAACUAUUUUCAUGCAAAAAGCUCCUUCUUCCUUCUGUAACAGGGGAAAGAGCACUGGGCUAGGAGUUAAGAAAGCUGCACUUGGCUCAUCACAGAUUCAUUUUCAAGCCAAAGACAUAAACUCAAAUAACUCAAGGCCGUGAUCAUUCAAUUAGUCACAGAUGGUCGCUCCACAUGGUGACUCAGGGACUCCUCCCAGUGCUGCCCAGCCAGAUGCCAAGCCGGAGCAGAAGGAGCUGGAGACAGAAGGAGGCUAAUUUUCCGUGGGAUCCUGAGAACAGAUACUUCUGCAUUCCAAAUGCAAAUUUCGGAUUAUCCACCGUGAUAGAUUUCACACCACCCUCCAACGUCAGAGCAACUGAGAACCAAUUGCAUGAAUUACCACAGCCAAAGGGGUGAAGCUUUUUCUCUUCUACACAAUGCUUCUUUAUACUAAGACUUUAUAAGCAGUCAAAACCCAGAAAUAAAUAGAAGAAAAUGUA